UUUCCGUAGGCGAACCUGCGGAAGGAUCAUUAUUGUAUAACCGAGGUGCGAGGGCCGUCGCUGACCCGAAAGGUCGUGCACGCCCGAGUGCCCUCACACACAUCCAUCUCACCCCUAUGUGCACCACCGCGUGGGUCCCCCUUUGGCUUGUUCGGAGGGGGGCUUACGUUUUCACACAAACUUUGUAUGCAGUGUAGAAUGUAUUUUUUGUUUUUGCGAUCACGCAAUCAAUACAACUUUCAACAACGGAUCUCUUGGCUCUC
rnacentral:misc_RNA from 1 species